rnacentral:lncRNA from 1 species
GGCCAGUCAUGAUACAAAACUAGGCUGUGGUGCCAGAACGAAGUCAAGGUCUCAAUAUCUCCCUCUGAAUAUGAGGCCAUGCUCUGGAAGGAAGGUCCCAAAUCAGGACUGGAAAAAACAGUGCUCCCUCCCCUGAUGUCCUGGAUACCAUUCAGAGGAAACAUCAUUGAUUGUGCCUGAAGCUUGCUGAGAGCUGUGCUAGGAGCUCCACAGAAAAGAUGGAAUGAAGAGCCUUCUACUAUGCCUGGGAGGAGCCACAGCUGCAGCCAGGGAUUCCCCAGAUCCUUGGGAUAUAUCUUCUGGUUGAAGUCCCCCCAAGGCAGUGGACAAAGCAAGGACAACAAAAAGAAAAAUAAAUAA